AGUCGAACGGGCUCUUCGGAGCUAGUGGCAGACGGGUGAGUAACGCGUGGGAACCUACCUAUAAGUACGGAACAACACAGAGAAAUUUGUGCUAAUACCGUAUGUGCUCUUUGGAGUAAAGAUUUAUCGCUUAUAGAUGGGCCCGCGUUAGAUUAGCUAGUUGGUGAGGUAAUGGCUCACCAAGGCGACGAUCUAUAGCUGGUCUGAGAGGAUGAUCAGCCACACUGGGACUGAGACACGGCCCAGACUCCUACGGGAGGCAGCAGUGAGGAAUAUUGGACAAUGGGGGCAACCCUGAUCCAGCCAUGCCGCGUGAGUGAUGACGGCCUUAGGGUUGUAAAGCUCUUUCGCUAGGGAAGAUAAUGACGGUACCUAGUAAAGAAGCCCCGGCUAACUUCGUGCCAGCAGCCGCGGUAAUACGAAGGGGGCUAGCGUUGUUCGGAAUCACUGGGCGUAAAGCGCGCGUAGGCGGCUAGGUCAGUCAGAUGUGAAAGCCCCGGGCUUAACCUGGGAAUUGCAUCUGAUACUGCUUGGCUAGAGUACAGAAGAGGGUGGUGGAAUUUCCUGUGUAGCGGUGAAAUGCGUAGAUAUAGGAAGGAACAUCAGUGGCGAAGGCGGCCACCUG
rnacentral:rRNA from 1 species